AUGCUUCAGCGGUUCCUCAUCGUCAUCAUCAUCAGGAAGAGUGAUAACGACAUUGGAUGGAGCUGGUUUGAGGUUGCUGCGUCCUCCAUCUCAUGGUCGUCAGCCUUGCCUGAGGUCUCAGAAGUAGCAGCACCUGAUAUGGUGGGGAUGGACACCUUCAUCUUUGGUAGGAGCUUGGUCGGCUUUGACGGGGCCACCUUGGAUUGCUUCGGCGCCUUUUCAGUCAGCGCCGGAGAAGUGGUCCGAGGACGUUUGGUCGACUGCGCGAAAGUCGCAACCCCCUUGCCACGUUCAGUCGCAGAGUCAUGGGCAAGUUUCGACCGCCUUUCUGAGCGCGGUGGAGCAACCUCCUCCUCCUCCUCUUCUUCGUCCUCCUCAUCGUCGUUGUCAUCAUCGUCAUCCUCAGCGGCAUCCGAGUCCCACUCCUCCUGGCUCUCGCCCCCGCUCGCUUCUCCCUCUUCAGUCGGAGCCUGUGCUCCAUUGGGCAUCGAGUACAGCUCGGUGAGGGCCUUGGUCGAGUGGAGGAAUCCUUCUGGCUCCACGGGGGUUAUCCUUGUUCCCAGUGACCGCGGCCACCCACCUUUCCACCGUGGCAUCGUCGACUGCUUCCGGGUGGAUCCGAGUCUCAUCUUCAGUUCCGCAGUACAACCACAUGCAAUGGCUCUGGAACUGAAGAGGCUGGAUACGCCGCCUAAGGAAAACUUCCAAGAGAUCCAUACCAGUUACUCCAUCUCGAACCAGCUGAACUACACGCUCCAUCAGCAUCUUCACGUCGGCUUUCUCCUCCGGAAUCACCUUCAGUGA
rnacentral:rRNA from 1 species